rnacentral:rRNA from 1 species
AUUGAACGCUGGCGGCAGGCCUAACACAUGCAAGUCGAGCGAGCGGCGGACGGGUGAGUAAUGUCUGGGAAACUGCCUGAUGGAGGGGGAUAACUACUGGAAACGGUAGCUAAUACCGCAUACCAUCAGAUGUGCCCAGAUGGGAUUAGCUAGUAGGUGGGGUAACGGCUCACCUAGGCGACGAUCCCUAGCUGGACUGAGAGGAGUACCAGCCACACUGGAACUGUGACACGGUCCAUGCUCCUAGGGGAGGCAGCAGUGGGGAAUAUUGCACAAUGGGCGCAAGCCUGAUGCAGCCAUGCCGCGUGUGUGAAGAAGGCCGUCGGGUUGUAAAGCACUUUCAGCGGGGAGGCGUUACCCGCAGAAGAAGCACCGGCUAACUCCGUGCCAGCCGCCGCGGUAAUAC